AGAGUUUGAUCAUUGGCUCAGAUUGAACGCUGGCGGCAUGCUUUACACAUGCAAGUCGAACGGUAACGCGGGGGCAACCCUGGCGACGAGUGGCGAACGGGUGAGUAAUACAUCGGAACGUGCCCAGUAGUGGGGGAUAGCUCGGCGAAAGCCGGAUUAAUACCGCAUACGACCUACGGGUGAAAGCGGGGGAUCGCAAGACCUCGCGCUAUUGGAGCGGCCGAUGGCAGAUUAGCUUGUUGGUGGGGUAAAAGCCUACCAAGGCGACGAUCUGUAGCUGGUCUGAGAGGACGACCAGCCACACUGGGACUGAGACACGGCCCAGACUCCUACGGGAGGCAGCAGUGGGGAAUUUCUGGACAAUGGGCGCAAGCCUGAUCCAGCAAUGCCGCGUGUGUGAUGAAGGCCUUCGGGUUGUAAAGCACUUUUAGUGGGAACGAAACGGUCCGGGCCAAUACCCUGGACUAAUGACGGUACCCGCAGAAUAAGCACCGGCUAACUACGUGCCAGCAGCCGCGGUAAUACGUAGGGUGCAAGCGUUAAUCGGAAUUACUGGGCGUAAAGCGUGCGCAGGCGGUUAGUAAGACGAUGUGAAAUCCCCGGGCUUAACUGGGAACUGCAUUGGUGACUGCAAGGCUUGAGUGUGUCAGAGGGAGGUGGAAUCCGCGUGUAGCAGUUGAAUGCGGUAGAUAUCGGGAGGAACAUCGUGGCGAGGCGGACACUGGACAGCACUGACACUG
rnacentral:rRNA from 1 species